rnacentral:rRNA from 1 species
UACGUAGGGUGCAAGCGUUAAUCGGAAUUACUGGGCGUAAAGCGUGCGUAGACGGUUGCGUAAGUCAGAUGUGAAAGCCCCGGGCUCAACCUGGGAAUUGCAUUCGAGACUGCAUUGCUAGAGUAUGGGAGAGGGAAGUGGAAUUUCCGGUGUAGCGGUGAAAUGCGUAGAUAUCGGAAGGAACAUCAGUGGCGAAAGCGACUUCCUGGACCAAUACUGACGCUCAUGUGCGAAAGCGUGGGGAGCAAACAGG